rnacentral:rRNA from 1 species
UUGGAGGGCAAGUCUGGUGCCAGCAGCCGCGGUAAUUCCAGCUCCAAUAGCGUAUAUUAAAGUUGUUGCAGUUAAAAAGCUCGUAGUUGAACUUCGGGGUCUACCCAUUGGUCAGGCUUAAUUGUCUGUACUGGUGAGAUGGAUCUCUACCUUCUGAGGAACUUUCAUGCCAUUUAUUUGGUGUGGUUGGAAAUCAGGACUGUUACUUUGAAAAAAUUAGAGUGUUUAAAGCAGACUAUCGUCUGAAUACAUUAGCAUGGAAUAAUGAAAUAGGACGGACUGAUUCUAUUUCGUUGGUUUCUAGGAUCACCGUAAUGAUUAAUAGGGAUAGUUGGGGGCAUUAGUAUUCAAUUGUCAGAGGUGAAAUUCUUGGAUUUAUUGAAGACUAACUACUGCGAAAGCAUUUGCCAAGGAUGUUUUCAUUAAUCAAGAACGAAAGUUAGGGGAUCGAAGACGAUCAGAUACCGUCGUAGUCUUAACCAUAAACUAUGCCGACUAGGGAUCGGACGAAGUUAAUUUUAUAAUGACGCGUUCGGCACCUUACGGGAAACCAAAGUGUUUGGGUUC